rnacentral:rRNA from 1 species
GAUUAACGCUAGCGGCAGGCCUAAUACAUGCAAGUUGAACGGCAGCACAGGUAGCACUACUGGGUGGCGAGUGGCGCACGGGUGCGUAACACGUAUGCAACCUACCCUAUACAGGCGAAUAACCUUUAGAAAUGAGGGCUAAUACGCCGUAGUAUUACAGAUGGGCAUCUAUUUGUAAUUAAAGAUUUAUCGGUAUAGGAUGGGCAUGCGUCCCAUUAGUUAGUUGGUAAGGUAACGGCUUACCAAGACGAUGAUGGGUAGGGGAUCUGAGGGGACUUACCCCCACACUGGUACUGAGACACGGACCAGACUCCUACGGGAGGCAGCAGUAAGGAAUAUUGGGCAAUGGCCGCGAGGCUGACCCAGCCAUGCCGCGUGCAGGAAGACGGCCUUAUGGGUUGUAAACUGCUUUUAUACGGGAAUAAUAGAGUGUACGCGUACAUUUAUGCAAGUAUCGUAUGAAUAAGCAUCGGCUAACUCCGUG